rnacentral:tmRNA from 1 species
GGGGUCGAUUAGGAUUCGACGCUGGUUUCAAAACUUUAGGUGCAAGCCGAGCUGGUAGCAGACCUCGUUAAUUAGCUGCUGCAAAACCAUAGUUGCCAACAACGACAACUUCGACGCUCCGGUGGCCCUGGCCGCUUGAUGCGUUUCUGGUGGCCUCGGCCCCAGCGAGUACAAGGGGAUGCCUGUAAACCCAAAGUGCCUCGUCAGAUAGAACAGGAUCGCCGCCAAGCUCGCUGCAGGCGUAACGGCUAAAAAACAUGCAGCUCGCUCCAAGCACCCUGCCAUUCGGGCGGUGAGGAGUUAACUCAGUAGAAUUGGCUAAGCCUGUAGUACCGACAGCAGAGAACUGGCGGACGGGGGUUCGAAACCCCCCGACUCCACCA